ensembl:lncRNA
GCAGGAGGACACAGCUUACAAAGGACACAACAUACCCACCAACCCUCCUUGGCUCCCUGCUGGUGUCCCUGACAGGGAUCUCAGUCACAGCCAGUUUCCUCCCUCCCCAGGCACCUCUACAACAACCACAGACAACCACUGCCGCUACAGACCAUGCAGUUCCUGCCUGAACAGUUGCCUGCUGACAGCUUCCCACUACCCCAGGGGCAGUGAGGGCAGUGCUGAGGGCGAUGCAGCCCAGGAGUUGGAUCGCAUGUGUAGAAAUCUUCAGCACCGUCUCCAGAGGCGAUUUCCAAGGAAUCAGAAGCUGAAUUCAUCAGACGUUUGCUGAGGGAUUUGGGAAAAAGAAAACAACCAACACAAAACAACCAUAAACAAAGCCCAGCAGCCCGGCCAACAAACAAAAGCAACUUCAGGAAGAAAGUGGCAGAAUCCCUAAGGUGCCAUUUAGGAAAAAUUGGAGGAAAUCAGAGACCAGCACUCAUACUGCCAGCACCACCCCUCUCCCAGCACAGUGUAUGCCAUCCUCAUCCUCUCCCGGUAAAAUAUCUCCUUUCCCAUACUGCAGCAGCCACCUGUCCACUGCUAGGGGCAGCUCUUCCCUUUGGCCCUUUCCCACCCCGAAACCACACUACAGCCAUGCUGAGCUCCGAAAGCACACAGCUGGCAGGGAGCCCCAGGGUGGCAGCACCCUGCAGGUACACAAUACAUUGCUGCAGGCCCUGGCAGGGUGCCUGGCUCCCCACCCAGACUGGCUCAUCUGGCUGCUGCCGUGGGAGCCCCGCACUGAGCUGCGGCCAGGUGCUGCUGUGGGAGUUCCUGGCCGGGAAGGUAGAGUGCAUUUCAGCCUGGCUGCUGAGGGGUGAUGCUGCAUGGGGAGCCACGUAGGGCUGCAGCCUUCAGGGUGGGGGUGUCCCCGGCUGCUGCGGGAGGAGCGGCCCAGGGAGCCCCGAGCGCUGCCCCGGCAGAGGGCAGUGGUGCCCCGACCGUAACACUCCACAGCCGUACAGAACGCGUGCAAAGGAACUGGGCAUGCACGACAGGGACGGGGCAGCAACCUAUUUCUUUCCUUUUAGUUAAAAGAAAAGAAGGGGAAGAGAAAAAAAAAAAAAAAGAAAGAAAAAAAGGCCUCUGUCUGCACGGAAGCCCCUCAUCUCCAGCUGCAGGCUGUAGGAAUAGGCUGUGUAGGCAUCUCCCUCGCAUGCUGCCACGGUUGGUAGCAGCCCAGGUGCCUGCAGUAAGUGCUAAGCAUGCCAGGAGGUACCCACCCGGUGUUGGAGCAUGCAGCCCAGCGAUGGGGGAAGUGUUACAACCAAAAGAGCCACGGGCUGCAAUGGUUAUGGUAGUAAAGGAAAAAAAAACGGCUUCAUACCUGUGAGGGAAUUAUCCCAUUAUCCAAAGAUGAGACUCCAGCAGGUCCACAUGGAUGGCGAAAAGCAGCAGCGUGGGAUAACUCAGCACGUAAACCCUUGGUGUAACAUAAGCAAAAGUUAUUAAUCCAGCGAUGGCUUACAGCUGACAGCCACUGCAAUCAACAGCAAACACGUUUCAAGCUUACCUGGUUCACAGAAACCAAAAUCCUCUUUUACCCGAUUCAGUUUGCUCAUGUGGAGGCACGGAGCUGAAACAGCAACCUCCUGCACCUCCCAGCAGCACUCCUCUCUUUGAGGGCAGCUUAUUAGCUUUUAUGCCACAUUCGAGCAUCCCCUGGCUGUCAGAGCAGAUCCCGGGGUGGAACGAUACCUCCAGGCAGCAAUACCCAAAGGCAGCAGCUUCUCUGAUCCUUUGACCAGGAAGAACAGCAGCAGCAGCAACCAGAAAUGAAAUAAAUCAGAGAGGUGUUCCCUACGUAAUGGUUAAUGUGGAAUUAACUCCC